UGGGGAAUAUUGGACAAUGGGCGCAAGCCUGAUCCAGCCAUGCCGCGCGAGUGAUGAAGGCCCUAGGGUUGUAAAGCUCUUUCGCCAGGGACGAUAAUGACGGUACCUGGAUAAGAAGCCCCGGCUAACUUCGUGCCAGCAGCCGCGGUAAUACGAAGGGGGCUAGCGUUGUUCGGAAUCACUGGGCGUAAAGCGCACGUAGGCGGAUCUUUAAGUCAGGGGUGAAAUCCCGAGGCUCAACCUCGGAACUGCCUUUGAUACUGGAGGUCUCGAGUCCGGGAGAGGUGAGUGGAACUGCGAGUGUAGAGGUGAAAUUCGUAGAUAUUCGCAAGAACACCAGUGGCGAAGGCGGCUCACUGGCCCGGUACUGACGCUGAGGUGCGAAAAGCGUGGGGAGCAAACAGGAUUAGAUACCCUGGUAGUCCACGCCGUAAACUAUGGAUGCUAGCCGUUGGGCAGCUUGCUGUUCAGUGGCGCAGCUAACGCUUUAAGCAUCCCGCCUGGGGAGUACGGUCGCAAGAUUAAAACUUAAAUGAAUUGACGGGGUCAUAGCUGUUUCCU
rnacentral:rRNA from 1 species